ACUAAACAGCCCCAGCUCCCUCAGCCUCUCCUCAUAGGGCUGAUUUUCCAAGCCCUUCACUAGCCUCGUUGCCCUUCUCUGGACCUGCUCCAGGUCCAGAGAAAAUAAAUGCAUCUGAUAUUACAUGAUUUGCAAAAUAUGGUAGCUGUCUUGAAUUGUUGCAAAGAGCAAGAAAACUAGUUGGGUAGGAGUGAUGUACUAAUUAAGGAAUGCUAUAGGAAUGAUGGAUACUGAGGUAGGUAUCCAACAGGCAUGCGGGGAGAAGAAAUCUGAUCAUAGUUAGUAGGGAAGAAGGAGCCAUACUUCAUGUAAAUUUUAAACCUGCGUUACCAAGAACCAUAGAUAAAGUGAAAGGAAAGCAAGAGAAGCAAGAUGGGAUCCAUGCUGGAGAGAGAAUACACAACCUGAAGGAGAGGCUAAGCAGAAUCUAUUGCCAACAAUCAUAGCUAAGAGGGGAGUGAUGAAUGGCAGUUUGGAGAAGAGGCUAAUCACAGGAAAUAAUUCUUGAAGCCAUUUUCAAACUCAUUAAAGACCAAAAAAAAAAAAAAAAAAAAAUUACAUGAGAGGAGUCAACAUGUAUUAAUGGAGGGCAGAUUACCCAGAUUACGCUUGGUCAGCCUGAUAACCUCUGAUGAUUGGGUUGGUGGAUGAGUGGAGAACAGUCAGCAUUGUUUAUUCUAACUUCAGUAAGGCUAUCAGCACUGUCUUCCAUAGUGCCGUACCAUAUAAAGUGAUGAAGUACAACGUAUAUUAGUGAACAGUGAUGUGGAUUGAAAACUUGCUGAAUUGUUGGGCCUAAAGGUUUCUCAUCACUGACAUGAAGCCCAGUUGGAGGGUACUCAUAGAUGGUGUAUCAAAGAGGUUUAUCCUGAGGCCUGUAGUAUUUAACCUCCUCAUUAAUGACCUAGUCUACACAACAGAGGGCUCCCUCAGAAAAUUUGCAGGUGACAGAAAACUAGGAGGAGUGGCAGAUAUAUCAGAUAGGCUGUCAUCCAGAGGGACCUCAGCAGUUUGGAGAAGUGGGCUGAGAAGAAUCUCAAAGAUUAACAGGAGAAAGUACACAGUCCUGCACCUGAGAAGGAAUAAAAUCAUUAGUAAAUGCUGAGCACUAACCAGCUAGAAAAUAUCUUUGCAGAAAAGCACCUAGCAGUGCUAGUGGAUGACAAGUUGAAUAUAAGCCAACAAAAUGCUUUUUCAAUGAAGCAGCUUAUUGUACACUUGAGGCUUGAGAAACAUAAGCUUGCACUAAUAAACAGCUAUGUUGAUACAUACAUAAUGUGUUAAAA
rnacentral:lncRNA from 1 species